UCUUUUUUUCAAUUGGGUUUCACCAGAUCCGAUUCGAACAAUUCAGGAUGCAUAAAACAAAACAAAAGAUCGACUCUUGCUGGGAGAGUAUGGAUUUGAGGAUAAAAAUGAUAGAGUUGGAAAAUAGUGUUACCUCAAUGGCGAUUCAAGCCGUGAAAAGCAAACCCUGAGUUGCUAGUCUUCUCACCCUCCUUGUCUGCUUUGCAACUGCGUUUAGGGAUUUUGUGACUGUCUCUAGUAGUGAACUUUUGAGUAGUAUAAAUUUUCAGAUAUAGAAAU
rnacentral:lncRNA from 1 species